AUCUGUGUCCCAUUUCGAAAGUGAAAACUCGGUUAUCAUCACAAUAGUAAAAGGCGCCAAUCACGAAUAUAAAAGAUAUCAAAAGAAAUAAAUGCGAAAGAAUAAGUAAACAAGAAGGAAACAAUAGUUACAAAAGAACACUAAUAGAAUAAAUGUGCCAAAAGGAUAUCACUUCCUCUACUCACACAACUGGGUGCGACGUGCGUUUCCACUUUCAUGGUCGGUUGAAUAAGUGAACGUCACAUUCCCUCCCAUCUUCAUGUUUCUUCUUUAAGUUUAUAACUAUGCACACAGUCAAUAAAAGCAUCUUCGAAUAUGCUUAUUAAGGGAGAAAAGAUUAGUAAGAAAAAUAGAAAACCGGACGACUUUGGUUUUUGGAUUUGGAACGUCGAGAAUUUGUAGUCCAUGAAUAAAGCCACUUUUGGAAAAAGUUUGAGUUGUCAAAAUGAUAUGAUUUGAGCAAAAGUGAAUAUGUAAUAAAUAAAUAGAUAGUUGACUAAUCAUUGCAUAAGUAAAAGCAUUUUGGAUUUGAUUCCAUUAAGCUAUGUUUUUCUAACAGCUGUUUGUCUCUCUGCCUUCAUUUCCACCCAAGAAGCCAAAAAACUGAUACAUUAUCUCCAUUAAGUUUUGAGAGAGAGAGACUGAGAAGAUGGGACUGAGUCGACGACUGACCUAACAUCUGCAUAUGCAAGAACCCAUCCACGGUCAAGGAGGCUUUUAAGGGCAUCUCCAACUCCACUCUAUUUUUUCACUCUAAAAUAGAGUUUAGAGUAAAAAUGCUCCAAUGGUACUCUAUUUCUCACUCUAUAAUAGAGUAAAAAAUAGGUUUAUUCUAAAUAUAGAGUAAUUUUUUUUUUUUUGUUCAUCACUCUAUUUUUUACUCUAAAAUAGAGUAACAUUGAAGCAUAUUCAAACUCUAUUAUAGAGUUACUCUAUUUUAGAGUAAAAAAUAGAGUAAGCCAUUGGAGAUGGUCUAAGCUCGCUAGGCCAUCUCUUAUCAAGCAUUUCACCAUAAGCACCAUGAACAUGAAGCAGACCAGGUUUCCGGUUCACCUCUCUCGCUCUGAGCUCUCGAGUAAACAACAGUUAAUGGAACCAUGGCUCCAUCAUGAGAAGAGACUUCAUGGUGAUCACAUGCAUAAAACUCGGUUAAGUCAUUCCACAAGUUGUCAUUCAAGGAACUAGUAAUAUCCUCCUCACUAUCAAAACUAACAGUUCUUGUGCCUUAAGGUAUAUUAGGGUUCUCGGUGGAGUUUGCAGUGCCGUAUAAAACACGUGUUCUCUCGUGAAACAUGUUUUGCUGCUGCACGAUGUUUCUGUAACGACCUGGUUCUCUGGUUCUCUAAACCAACUGGUUUGAAUUUAAUUAAUAAUCCUUUGAACCAAACCCUUGGUUUGUUGUGAUUAGUGGUAUAUGUAUGAUUAUAUGCAUUCCCUUCCUUCCCCGAAUGACCUAGCCGUCACAUCUCGUUAGUGUUGUGGUCUUUCACCACCUCCAACCAGCUGAAGCAUCAGUGCAUCACCAUCGUUCCUAUGUUGACGUGAGCCACCAAACCAGAAGAAGAGAAAACAAGAGCAGAUCCAGAGCCGCUGCAUCUCGAUAGGACCGGUGUUGAUCCACACGUUCUUCCACCGGAGCCGCCGUUGUCAUCACCACCAUCCAUCAACACAUACCGCCGUGUCGUUUGGAGGGCCCUAGUUUCAGCCUCGUGACGUACGCGAUUGGUGAUGUAGAGAGCGUGAUCAGGAAGGUUUAGUGUAUUAUUAUUAAUUUCUUGUAACGCAAGUUUCUUAAUCAAACCCUAAAUUAAUUGUAUUAAUAAUGCCUCGUUGUUUUGUGUUUAUUCAUUUUCGGUCUGGUGUGUGUCAUUGGCAAGAGCGAGAUCCAUGGCGAAACCGUAGCUUUCUUGCUGAUAAAGUCAUUUCGUUUAUAGUCGGACUCGCUUAUGUUUCCUUUUUAUUGGCUAAGGUGAAAGUUAGUUCGUUAAAUCCCGAGCUAGUUUAGUACUACUAUUAUGGAAAGCCUAGUUUCGAAGCAUGAUUUGUUUCUGUAAAUCGAGUCUGUUUGAGAGUCUUGUUUGUCUACUAUUAUUUUUGAUUGUUAAACUGGAAAUAUGAUAAUAGAGGAUUCAACGGUUGUGUGAAAUGAUUGAUGUUAAAAACUGUUAUAUGUAUAUAUAGUUAUAUAGUAGGGACUAUAUGAGGAGUGUCGGGGCCCAGAGAGAUCUUGGCUAGCGACGCAUAUGAGUACGGGGGUCAGAGAAAUCUGAGUUAGCGACGUAUAGAGUACGGGGGCCAGAGAAAUCUGAGCUAGCGACGUAUAGAGUGCGGGGGCACAGAGACAUCUGAGCUAGCAACGCAUAUGUGAUGAGUACGGGGGCCCAGAGACGUCUGAGCUAGCGACGUAUAUAUUUUAUGGUGCGGGGUGCAGAGAUGUUUGCAUAUCGACGCAUAUUGGUGGAGUGCGGGGGUCCAGAGAUGUCUGGACUAGCGACGCAUAUUAUAUUAUCGUAUAUCCGUAUGAGGAGAACGCAGGGUGUGUGAACUAGCUAUGUACCAUCAGCAUAUUGUUUGUUCUGUGUGAUGCGCUAGGCAUCUUGUUUGUUAAUGCUAGAGCUAUGCCUACAUAGUCGUAGUGUUAUGUAUUGAGUCAGUGGUUUGCGGUUUAGCAUCCCAUACCUCACUGGGUGACUCUCCUGUUGCUCAUCCCUCUUUCUUUCCAUUGCAGGUGAACUUGCCGAGUAGUUGGAUACUUGGACGGUUUGAUGUCUUGGGGAUCAUCGUAUUUUUAUUUUGGUUUUCAUUCCAUUUAUUCGACGUAUUUUUAUAAAUCAAUUUAAAGAUGUAUUUCAUUCAAAUUUAUUUUAUUAAAUGUGUUUGAUAUUUUAUUCGGUUUUAAAUAACUCGGUUUGAUUCAGUACUUUUCGGUAAGUAGCACGCUGGUCUCGAAAGAGGAGGAGACGGGUGUUGCAGUUUCAUUUCCCGUUUAAUAGAUCAUAAUCAACCACAGCAUCAGGCAUCUACAAACCACAGCAUCAGGCUAAUAGCUCUUAAGCUACGUAAGCAGGAAACAGCAAGAGGAGUUGUUAUCCUACCACAAGUGAAGAAAUCAUGUCAUAAAGGUAUUAAGUUGUAAAAAAACAGAAGUUAAGAGGCUGUAACAUAAAUAACAAAAACCAAGGGGAGUAGAAAGCAAAACUCGUAACUUACACAAAUUAAAGUUGGCGAUUUAUUUUCCUUUUUAUUAGGGCACCGAAAAUAUAAAUUUGCCUGUUCGUUUUCUCGCUAAUAAAGGUUUUCGUAUCAGUUUAUCACACAAGAUUAGAUCCUCUCGUCCUCUGAUUCAUCUAUCUUCAUGAGUCUUUAAACCCUCUCCUGUUUAAUUUACUUAAUCACUACCAAAAAGCUGAUCAAAGAAGAAGAAAGAAAGAAUGGUUGAAACUAGUGAGAAGACUCCUUCUCCAUCUUCUUCCUCUCAUGGGCGUAAAGACUUGGAGUUUUUCAAGGUUUAUCUUCCCGAGUUCAGCUCUCACCAACUGGUAUGUUCCUAUGUUAUCUCUUUUUCUUCUCUAGGACUUAAAUAUUCUUUUUUCUCUUGGAAACUAAUUAAUAUCAAAAUUAACGUGCAGGUGAUACCUCAAGCAUUCAUAAACAUCUUAGAUAAGCCAUUACCUAAAAAAGUGGUAUUAGUAGAUGAGAUCGGACGGUUAUGGGAUGUGGAGACAAAGAUUGGUGUUGUUGUUUUCAGACAAGGUUGGGAAAAAUUUGCAAACGAACAUUCUCUUGAGUUUGGAGACUUUCUUUUGUUUAGAUACAACGGCGAGUCUAGAUUUGACGUCACGAUUUUCGCCAAAGACGGAUGUAAAAAAGACCUAGAUAGAUUUAGGGUUUCUGUUGAGAAAGAACCGGUUCUCGUUAAACCUGUGGGUAUUUCUAUCAAACCGGAACCUUGGGAAGACUGUGGCAAGAGGGUCAUGCAGAAUCGUAAACGCGUUUCGGUUAGAGAGGAGGCUAGUGUUUUUGGUGAGAUUGAACCGGUCCACCAAAGAAAUACUAGGAAAAAGGUUAACCGGUCUAGAGAUCCUCGUGAGAUGUCAUGGGUUCCUGAGAAGAAACACAAAGGAUCUGAAGAACCGGUUUAUAAACCCAAGAAUCCGCAUUUUGUGAGGAAUAUUGCAGUCGGUUCACUUCGUUUACUGGAAAUACCGACAACUUUUCUGAAAGCGAACGGGAUCGAGCUGGAGGAAGGCCAAGACAUCGAGCUUUGUGAUGAAAAUGGAAAGAAAUGGCCACUGAAGAUUGAGAAACACGGUAGAGGAUGCAUAUUCUCAUAUGAUUCGUGGUUGUGUUUCUGUGAAAGCCAUAACUUGAGGAAUCCCAAUAAGUGUUUGUUUGAGUUUAUUGUGUCAAGUAAUGGGACAUGCAGCCAGAUUCUAGUUCGUAUAUUCCGUGGGACGUUGCUUACUACUGCUACCAAAAGUGGUUACCACGUUCUUCCUAUGUAAACUUAAAACUAUACUUACUUCAUUGUGUUGUAUUCGGUUCUUCCAUGACGGCCUAGCUCCCUAGCAGCUAGCGGUUUUGGUUAGAAACGUGUGUCCUAACAUACAAACAUUGAAUACUUGACCUAUAUAUAGAUCUUUAGAGUAUUUGUGGUCUUUGAUCAUUUGGCUGGUGUGUUUUUCAGUAUUCAUGUCUCAUAAGUACAAACACUUAUAUCUACAAAUAAAAAAUCAUUGAAGAAAGGUAAAUUUUUCUCCUAAAUAAAUAAAUACUAUUGUAAAAAACAGUAAAAUAAAAUGUGCCUUGAUGAACUCAAAGUGGUCGAUGUUCGUCUUAUAAACUGGCCAUAUUAGAGUUCUCCCAUUGGUAUUUUAGUUCUUGACUACGAAUAAAUGUUUAAAUUAUAAGACAAUUGGGUUGUUUCCUCAUAUAGUUUGAACUUCGUUUCGGACCUGUCGACUACAUAUUAUACAUUUUAUAAUGUCAUUUGGUAUUAGGAAUUCAAGGUAUGAAGAACGCACUAAACGCGGGGAAAUUGAGUCAUUCAACUAUAUAAAGCUAUGUCACGUAGGAGAGCACAUAGUUUAUUUUCUUUGUUUUAUGAAGAUGAAAAAACCAAAUCAGCCACCGGUUUCCAAAUAAACCAAUGGAACUACGGCCCAAAGUAUAAUGUAUUAGUCCACUUUGUUUUUUUAAUAUAAAACUGAAUGCGAAGUGUCACCAAUCCAUUAUUAUAUGCUCUGUAUAUAAAUACACACGAGUGUUGUUGUUAGUCAUUACACAAUAUCAUCAACAACAACAAAAAAAUCUUUCUCGAGCUUUCUGUUUUCCCUUUUUUGUGAAAUGGAGUUUGAGAUUUCUAAACGAGUCCAAUCGGAGGAAGGAGAAGAGAAUUUAAAAGAGGAACAAGUGUGUAACCAGCUACAACUGAAAUCGUCUGAAACGCAAACGCAGGCGCUGAACAAAAGAGCGGUCCUGAACCGCAUCCGCGACCACAAAUGUAUUCACAAAAUCAAGAGUCUUCUUCUCACCACCGCAGGUAGUAACAAGGGAUCCACCGUCGACGCUGAUAACCGUUGGAUUGAUAGUGGGGAUGUCUUCUCUUGCCCGUGAACUCGGCUUAUACUUUGACGCGUGUGAUACGUGUCGGGGAGAGAUAGGUUGAAGGGUUUUGUUAUGGAAAAAUCAAAUUGGGAUCCAGAUCGACAUUUCGCGUCUCUCUCUUGUUCUCUCUGGCGGCGAUCGAAACGGAGAUUUUGCUCUCACCGUCGCAUCUCCUCCGUGACCGUUGUCCCGUCGACGAACCUCCUUCCAAGUCGUCUCCGUCGACGAAUCUCCUCCCACGUCGUCUCUUCUCGACCAAUCUCCUCCCAAGUCGUCUCCUCUCGACGGCACAUCUCCUUCGUCACCGUUGUCCAGAUCAACGAACCUCCUCCCAAGUCGUCUCCGUCGACGAUUCUCCUCCCACGUCGUCUCUUCUCGACGAAUCUCCUCCCAAGUCGUCUCCUCUCGACGGAUUUCAUCCCGAGGCAUCUCUCUGCGAUUGGAAGGUGAAAGGGUAUGUGUUCCUCCUCCUUCUGAUUUGCAUGUAUAUGGUUUAUGUUUUCGAUCUACUUUGGACGGGGUUUGCAUGUAUUUAGACUUACGGAACUGAAAUGAUUGAUUGUUGUUUAUAGAUUUAGGGAUGUCGUAUCAUAUAUGUGUGAAAGGGUAUGUGUGAUUGAUUGUUGUUUAUCUCAUGAAACUGAGAUGUUUGUUUACAUGUUUGCGAGGUUAUUAGGUGAGGUGAGGUUCGACCACCAGGAUUGUAUUAGCAAAUAUUUCAGUUUGUCCGGUCCUGGUCUUCGGGCGUUACGGGUCCGUGAUGAUGCUAGUCCUGUAUACUGUUUUGUGAAGCCUAAGAGUGUCAUCGUAUGGUUCGUGGGAGUUGAAGGAAAAGGUGAUAAGGUUCGUAAUUGCCUUACUCUUUAUGAGAUUGAUGAGGAUGGGGUGAGAAAUGAAAAGGUGACAGAACGUGACGACGUGCAUGACUAUUCUCGCGCCUUCGUUUGUGGCUAUGUGUAUGUUCCAAGUCUAGUCCCUCUUCCAUGAAUAAGAGAUUAAGGUUUUGUUUCGUUUAGCAAAUAUGGAGAAAGAAAAUCAGGCACUCUCGUUUAGCAAAUAUUUCAGUUUGUCCGGUCCUGGUCUUCGGGCGUUACGGGUCCGUGAUGAUGCUAUUAUCUUCCAAAUAAUAUGUAAUUUUUAUGUUUUUUGAAUUUAAUAAAAUGUUUGUUGUAAUUUUUUUUUUUUAAUGUUAAACUUCUCUUUUAUGUUUUAUUUAAAAUGUAUUUUUUAUAUCUAAUUACACAUUAAAAUAAAUAAUAUAAAAUAUGCUAAGGACUUUUUUGGUCCUACCAAUAAUCAACAAAAUUAAGAAAGUCCUUAUGCACUUGUCCCUAACUAAAAAAUAAUAUUAUUUUAUUCUAAGGACAAAAUUAAGUAGAACCAAUAAUGUUGCUCUUAGUAUAUUAGUUUUAU